GAUGGUGUAGCUCAGUGGUUAGAGCGGUUGACUGUUAAUCAACGGGUCGGUGGUUCGAAUCCACCCACCAUCGCCA
rnacentral:tRNA from 3 species